UACGUAGGGCGCAAGCGUUAUCCGGAAUUACUGGGCGUAAAGGGCUCGUAGGUGGUCAACUAAGUCGGACGUGAAAUCCUUCGGCUUAACCGGGGAACUGCGUCCGAUACUGGAUGACUUGAGUUCGGGAGAGGGAUGCGGAAUUCCAGGUGUAGCGGUGAAAUGCGUAGAGAUGUGGAGGAAUACCGAUGGCGAAGGCAGCCCCCUGGGAUAACACUGACGCUCAUGCACGAAAGCGUGGGGAGCAACAGGAUUAGAAACCCGUUAGUAA
rnacentral:rRNA from 1 species